rnacentral:rRNA from 1 species
CAUUAAAUCAGUUAUCGUUUAUUUGAUAGUACCUUACUACUUGGAUAACCGUGGUAAUUCUAGAGCUAAUACAUGCUGAAAACCCCGACUUCGGGAGGGGUGUAUUUAUUAGAUAAAAAACCAAUGCCCUUCGGGGCUUCUUGGUGAUUCAUAAUAACUUCUCAGAUCGCAUGGCCUUGCGCCGGCGACGGUUCAUUCAAAUUUCUGCCCUAUCAACUUUCGAUGGUAAGGUAUUGGCUUACCAUGGUUUCAACGGGUAACGGGGAAUUAGGGUUCGAUUCCGGAGAAGGAGCCUGCGAAACGGCUGCUACAUCCAAGGAAGGCAGCAGGCGCGCAAAUUACCCAAUCCCGACACGGGGAGGUAGUGACAAUAAAUACUGAUACAGGGCUCUUUUGGGUCUUGUAAUUGGAAUGAGUACAAUUUAAACCUCUUAACGAGGAACAAUUGGAGGGCAAGUCUGGUGCCAGCAGCCGCGGUAAUUCCAGCUCCAAUAGCGUAUAUUAAAGUUGUUGCAGUUAAAAAGCUCGUAGUUGAACCUUUGGCCUGGCUGGCAGGUCCGCCUCACCGCGUGUACUUGUCCGGCCGGGCCUUUUCUUCUGGAGAACCGCAUGCCCUUCACUGGGUGUGUUGGGGACCAGGACUUUUACUUUGAAAAAAUUAGAGUGUUCAAAGCAGGCCUUUGCUCGAAUACGUUAGCAUGGAAUAAUAGAAUAGGACGUGCGGUCCUAUUUUGUUGGUUUCUAGGACCGCCGUAAUGAUUAAUAGGGACAGUCGGGGGCAUCAGUAUUCAAUUGUCAGAGGUGAAAUUCUUGGAUUUAUUGAAGACUAACUACUGCGAAAGCAUUUGCCAAGGAUGUUUUCAUUAAUCAGUGAACGAAAGUUAGGGGAUCGAAGACGAUCAGAUACCGUCGUAGUCUUAACCAUAAACUAUGCCGACUAGGGAUCGGGCGGUGUUUCAAUUUGACUCGCUCGGCACCUUACGA